ncrna:unclassified sequences Glutamine-II riboswitch (downstream peptide RNA)
GUCCGUUCAUCCUUCGGGACGCAUGAUCACCACAGCAUGGAACGGGGUUGUGG